UCCUGUUGAGGAGACAAUCACAUGUCUUGCCUCCAGCCCUAGUCUCAGAACCUGUAAAGGUAAACUCAUAGGGGAUGGCUGGGGGAGAAGAGGAAAGUUUGUUCCAGAAGUAACUGUCUGAGGUAU